UAACUUGUGAAAAUGGUCCAUCAGGAUAGCGGGAUUGAUUAAGCGGAAUGUGGGAGAAAAGUUUGCUUGAGUCAGUUAUCAGUUUGAAGUUGCGAUAAAGAAUGGACGGAAGGAGUAUAACGUUGUAAGCAUCAGGCCAAUGAUAUCCAGAUGAUGUGCCAAGUAAGGGCUAAGGAUGCCACGACCACCACAAGCCGUAGCUUGCCACUUGCUACCCACCGGUCUUGUUCAAAAUUCAAACCUAUUUCUGCCCACUCCAACUCUAACAUGUAAUUGCAUUUUAUCAAUUAAAGAUAUUGUUUUAUUACAUCUUGUGGUCUAAAGUUUUAA